AUGCUCACUUCAGCACAUAUACUAAAAUUGGAAGGAUGUAGAGAAAAUUAACAUUGUCCACGGGAAAGGAUGAAAUACAAGUUAGGAAAAAAUUCUGUAUUUUA